GACGAACGCUGGCGGCGUGCUUAACACAUGCAAGUCGAACGGUAAGGCUCCAGCUUGCUGGGGUACACGAGUGGCGAACGGGUGAGUAACACGUGGGUGACCUGCCCUGCACUUCGGGAUAAGCCUUGGAAACUGGGUCUAAUACCGCAUAGGACCGCACCUUGCGUGUGUGGUGGAAAGUUUUUUCGGUGUGGGCUGGGCCAGCGGUCUAUCCGCUUGUUGGUGGGGUAAUGGCCUACCAAGGCGGCGACGGGUAGCCGGCCUGGGAGGGUGGAAGGCCACAGUGGGACUGAGGCACGACCCAGACGCCUACGGGAGGCAGCAGUGGAAGACAUUGCGCAAAGGGCGGAAGCCUGAUGCAGCGACGCCGCGUGGGAGAUGACUGCUUUCGGGUUGUAAACACCUUUCGCCAGGAACGAAGGGUUUGUGACGGUAGAUGGAGAAGAAGCACCGGCUAACUACGUG
rnacentral:rRNA from 1 species